UCUGGGGUUUGGCUUUAUUUUAAGUUUUGCUUCUUGUGAAAGAUCCACCCAAACCAGAGAGUUUUAAGUUUCAACACAAACAGAAAAGGUCUCAUUUCAAAAGCAUCCUGGUUUUGGUCAGUUUGAAAAGAUGAAUCCUGCUGAUCUAGAAGAUGCUGGUUUCACUACAGAAGGAAUAACUAAGGGUUCUAAGGCUGCCGAUAUGAUGUCAGCUGAAGCUAUUGCUAAUGGUGGAGGAGUCCCAGCUGGAUCUAUGGUAGCAGCUUCUCAAUCUGCAGGUGCAGCUCGAUCGACUGGUGCAGGUCAGGCCGCUAAGGGGGCCAACAAGGGCAAGCAUGGCUAGCAACAACACUGGAUAACUGAGGAUCUGAUCUUUGUGUAUUAUCAGAUCUGAGCUUUGUUGUCUGUUAAUCACAUGAAAUGAAUAAAAUGCACAUUAUUCAACACUAA